AUAAACGAUGUUAAAAAAAAAAAAAAAGUUCUCGUCCGAUCACCGAAGUUAAGCAGCGGUAGGCGUGGUUAGUACUUGGAUGGGUGACCGCUUGGGAACCCCGCGUGCCGUUGGUA
rnacentral:rRNA from 1 species